UGGCUGAGUGGCAAAGUGCUUGGCUUCUGAACCAGGGGUUCCGGGUUCGAAUCCUGG
rnacentral:tRNA from 1 species